rnacentral:misc_RNA from 1 species
AAGUCGAAACAAGGUUUCCGUAGGUGAACCUGCGGAAGGAUCAUUAAUACGUAUCCAACGUUAAACCCGAACAGAUUUUGAUUCAGGAACCUCAGUUUGGAGAGCCUAGUUGAGCGAUCGUGCGCAAGUAACCUGGUUUCCCCAAGCAGUCAGUGUCUGAAAGUGUCAUUGAUUGUGUAAGGAUAACGCUUUUCGAUCACUGGAGGCCGACACCGGCCGGUGGACAGGUCAUAUUAACCCCACUACCUGUACCGGCCUCGUAGGAAACUACUGGGCAUGGAUAUCUUGGUUCUC